UCGGAUCCGGUCCUGCCAGUAGAAACCGAAGGGGAACGUACCCCUUCCCCUCCCCUCCGCUUCUCCCCGGCCAGGGUUGGGGCGUCUUCCCUUCCCUUUUCUCUCCUUUUCCCUCGGCGGGGUCAGAGAUCCCGAGCGAAGGAAAUCCCCCUCCACGCCCUUUUGCAGGAGCUUUUAUUUUAUUUGAAGGUGACUCCAAAUCGCCCCUCCCGCGCCCCGCCAUCGGAUUUUUUUUUUUUUUGCGCCGCAAAUCUGAGCUCUUCAUUUUGCGCCACAAAUCUGAGGUCGGAAAGAAGGAGAGCUGAACGGCGAGAAAAGUUGAUCUCAAGCCGCUCGUGGAGGAGGCUGUUUUGGAGUAAAAGAGUCGAUCUUCAGUGUGACAUCAGAUUUCUGGAGUUUUUGAACUGAGAAGAAGCUGAGAUUUUUGCCUUGGGAGAAUUGCAAAUAUACACAGAGAAGAGUGUAUCCUUUUUGAGUGGAAGAGGGGGGAUCUGGACAUGUAUUUUCUUAAGACGGCCACUGUUGGGUUGUCUUGAAAAAGCUUGUGAUGUGGCAGACCACUGAAUUUUGCAACGUAUAAGUAACCUAAUACAUGCCAUAUGUAUUGCCUGGACCAAGAGGAUAUAUUCCUGACAGCCAAGACCUGGAAUGGUUCCAAGGCUGGAUGAUUUAUGGAGCAACCAUCAUUGUGGUUUACUGCAGGACUGAGCUAGCAACCUCAGUCGCCAAUGGCAUGAAGCACCACAAGCCAAGCUAACUCUAGCAGGAGUGAAACGCACAACAAUACUGUAUUCUGUUUGUGGAGAGCUGAUUGUGGAGAACUUCAGACUUCCUUUGCCGGGCAACUAAGCGGACUUGUUGGUCUGGUUUACACAUAUCUGCAUUUUCCUUCUUUGCGCUUGGCCUGGAGAGACCCACACCAAAGAGACCUCAGAUUCCUUCCCUGCGCCAUGUUCUUAAGCAGAGUUCGGUCAUGGCUCCCAGCACUGCCUUGGCGACAAGGAAAAGCAAAGCAGAUGGAGGAUGAGCAUGAGGCUUUGCCGGAGUGCCAGGCACCUCCUAAGGCAAGAUGGUGGAGUGGCCGUCGGAUAUGGGAAGCCAUCCGGUGGGACCGAAGUCCUGCUGCAGGAGAGCAGUCCCUAUUAGCUGGUAUACCCCAGCAUCUUUCCCCCCACCAUACACUGCCCACAGAAUCUCCAGAACACUUCCAGAUCUCCUUCAACUUUACUCGCCACCUGUUUGACUUGUGUGUGGUAACAUUGCUCUGUGCAUCCUCUCCGGCGUUUCGGCUGGCUUUGGACAUCCUAGGCUUUGGAGGUCCCCUGAAGGUCUGGCUCCAUGGCUUUGCUUGUUUCCUGGUCACGGCUUAUGGGAUGUACUUGGCCCUCUGGUUGGUGCAGGAGUAUAUUGUGCAGUUCGCCUGUCUCUAUGGCUUCCUUCAGACCUUGGUCUUGUGCGUCAGUAUCCGGGCCGGAGAAUGUGAGAACCAAGAGGGAGGCCAGGGUGCAACUCCUGACGCACCCAAGGAAGAUGAACAGUCAGACGCUGAAUUGCACAAACAGUAAUCGCUGUUCCAAGAAGGAAGAACGUGUUGAUUCAACUCCUGUGGCCAUCGGGGAAGAUGUUGGGGGGUGGGGUGGGGGUGGAAACCAAAGGAAUCAACUAAGGUGGCCCUUGCUGAGAACCGAAAAAGGAAGCUUGUCUUUUGUAUUUAAGGAGGACAAAAAAAGAUGGUGGGUUUUUUGUUUUUGUUUUUUGCUGUGUGUAAGUUUGCAAAAAUGAACGUGGUUACAGGGAAAUGACUCAGGGGAUCUGAUACAGAGUCUUAACUUGUAAAUGGUUACCAGACCAGUCUGUGAAUGGCUGGGAGGGAAGACCCCGACAGGCAAGCAGAGAAAUAAAAACAACAACUAGUAGGCCUUUGUGGAGCAGAGUUAGAGGAGGGAAGAGAGCUUGGACAAAUGUAUACUUCAAACUUAAGCCAGCCUCAAACUGCUUUCCUUGUCAGGGUCCCUCCUUCCACCCCUGAGGAAUCUGGAAAAUGUAGUUUUGGAGGAAGGGACAGGAAGGCGUGCUUAGAGUUCUUUGCUGGGAAUUCUGAGCUUUUGGGGAGUUGAUAGCAGCUUAGUUGGCAGUUUUGGCAGAAACGGAUGUGAAAACGGCAUGCACCCUGCCCGUCCAGUCUCUCUGGGCCUGUGUUUUCAUCCCACUCUGGGCCUUUUGCUUGUCCCCAUCCAUCUACAUUUCAGGUAGGGGUUGCUUAUUGGUCCAGUUUGAGCCAUACAGAAGGAAUUAUUGGGACCAUGCUGUGAAACUACAGAACAAACACCUGUGAUCUUGCAACUCCAGCAAGUUGGCUGCUAUUUGGACUCAACGCUUAGGGUUGGAAUAAUUGGGCCCAUGGGAGGUCUGGGAGGCUAGGAAGAACAAGUAAACUGCACCUUUCCCCUUUGCAGUGCAGUCUUGUCAGGCCAGAUAAAUCCAGUUCUAGUACAGUGAGAGGGGAAGAAAUCUUACCUAAUCAGGGCCAAAGAGGGGAUUUAACUUUAACUGAGCCAUAGUAGACUUUAAGGGUGGAAGGGUGGAAGGGUUUGAGGGGCAGAUCUAGAAGACUGACAGAUUGUCUUCAGCGGAGCCACAAGGGUGUAUAAUCCAUCGAGUAUGUAUGAAGUCUUCUCUGCCCUCAGAAAGGAGACUGAGAUGGGGAAUUAAGAAAUGGAAAAAUUAAAUACGCAGGGGAACACUACUACUACUUAAAUCUGAUGUUUUAAUGAACUGGGGGAGGAGAAUGACAAAGGAUUCCAGGGGGUCAUAAUUUGGGAGAAGCAGCUGCAAGGAAUCGCAGAAUAAAAUGCAAAACUCAGCCGAAAGCAAAUAACUUACUGAGCUGACCAUUUUUGCUCCUCCUGGAUCUGGGGCGGGAUGGCUUUUCACAACUUAACUGUGAUAAAAAUAAAAAGGGGAGGAGAUGUCCAGAAAGCUAAUUCUGAGCCUACAAUUUCUGCUAGAUCUGAGCCUUGAAUUUCGAUUUCUUCUUCACCAGCAUUUAGAAUUAUCUGCAGGUCUGGGAAGGGACGAGGCUCCUCCCCCUGUUCUGGUUUUUACCCUUUUGCAGUACUAACUCCUGGAUCACAGCUCAUGGUUACCAAAGUGGGAGGUAGAUUGCUCUAACAAGUUGUAUACAGUGUCUUUCUUCUGUCCAUUUUGUGCCAGCCUAUAGGGCAGAUAGCCAUUUUGCCGUAUUACUUGGCAGGGUGGUACAGCGAACAAACCAGACGCGUGUGAGGGAGUCCAUUUCGGGGCAAUCUGGCCAUUCAUAGCUGAGAUAAGGAAUGGAGUUCUUACUUACUUUAUUUCAAGUAUUGUACAAACGCUUUUGCUGGCAGCCAUGGGCCAAAUUGAUCCCCUUUUCAAAGACGUGUUUGUCAUUAUAAGGGAGUAAUUAUAUCAUGUCAAGCCAUUGCAGCCUGGGACCUCUGGAACAGAUGUGGUGGUCUCGGGAAGGCUGAAAUGGUGUCUGUCUGGAAUUAGAGAGCCUGAUUCCAGAAUGGGUUGUGAAUUCCUCAUGAACGUUUCUAGCUUGAUUGGCAGACUUUGUGCCCUGAAAUCUAGAACAAUGGCCACACCUUGGUCUAAAACAAGCAACCCAUUGCCAUAGCACAACCGCAUCCACUACUUCUAAUUAUAUGGCACUGAUAUGCUAAUUCUGCAUCUCAGAUAUGCAGCUGCCUUUUUAAAAAUUAAACCCAUCCUCUGGCACUUUUAAAAAAUCUAACUCCAUUAGAAUGUCCACUUGAACUGUCCCCCUUUCUUAUUUCUGUGUCCUCCCAAAUGAUGGGGUUGGCAUCCAUCUGUCUAUAUGUAGCAAAAGAAAACUACAUUCAAUCAGAAAAUCUGUUCUUUGCUUGGAAUAAACAUAACGGGGAUUCAAAACUUCUCCAAAAGAGCCAAGCAUUUUUCUUUCCUGCGAAGGGUUUUUUCUACUGCGUUUCCUAGCCCUAAAUGAAAAUACCCAGAUAGUAUCUUCUGAUAGAACAUCUGCCAUUGAUUUAAGAUUCUUUCCUCCUCGAGGAAUCUAGAAUUGCUAUUUUCUAUUUGUGCCACCUGCCUUUGGCAAGAAUCAAACCAUAAAUCUCUCGGUUCUGGUCUAGAAUGCCUUCCUUACAAACUUCUGGCCUGCUAUACUGGCCAGUGUUGGACUGUAGUUAUCACUAUGUUGAGAUAAUCUUGUUAUGACUCGGUCUUAGGUGCACACCCCUAGAAGCAAGCCUUGUUGUUUUUGGUGCGAUAUCGAUGUGGUUGAAUAGGAUUUGGAGGCAACUAAACAUCACCAUUUCUAUCAGGGCUGGCUCUGGGGUUUUGGGAAAUCUAGGAUUGGAAGACCUGUCCUCAUUGCCAAGUGGAGCAUUUUGCUAGUUUCUCUUUCUAGCUGGAGACGGGACCCGAUUCAGCUGCUCCGGGGGUUUGUGAGAUAGUUGAGCACGUUAGGAAUCGUAGCAGCCAAGUUGCAAGAGUAUAAUAGCAGGUACCUGUCACCAGGUUCAGCACCCUCGUGGCUUGUUACAUGGUGGUGCCAACCAUAUCUGCGAUGUCGUGAGUCCUCCUCGUGAUACAUAAAUGUGGUGCAAAGAAAUACACAGUUCUGGAGCUGCAUAGCGGUUGUUGGAGAGUUCAUACAUGUACCAGCCAGACCUUGUCAGAGAUUUCUCAGGUUGACUGAAGCACACCGUUGGUUUGGGCUGGAUGUACAUUAGAACUGUUACAUUAUUCAUAUUUUUAAUACAAUCUAGUUGGCCAAUGUAGAACAAAGCCACCAGCAUCCUUCCUUAGCACAAAGACUUACUGAAUCCCUGCCUUUAUGCCAUUUGGAUGCAAUCUUCCCUAAAUCCCCUUCUCCUUCCUCCUCCUUUCAUUGAGUGCUCUUUAAACACUGGUGACAUUCUUCUUCGACAAGAACAGUAAAAAAAUGGCAUGGUGGUUGUCCAGAAGGCCUUCACCCUUUGGAAGCAGAGGGAAUGAAGAUUCUGAGAACUUGUAUACAUGAGUGCUUUUCUGGAGCAAUCCUCUCCCCCCAACCUUCAUUAUACAGAGGUAUUCCUUUCAGAUCUGUUGGACUGGAUCCUGUGGUCAAGGUUCUUUCCAUUGGAGGAAAGUGCUCCUACUAGCAGAAGAGUUCUUGUGGGCUCCUACCUAUAAUGUGAUCGCUGUGUAAAACAUUACUGGCAUGAUGGAUUACCUCUGCCGCAACAACAAACACUUGUUUGUCCCUUUGAAAAGAAAAAAGAUGGAGGAGAAGAAAAGGUUCUUCAAAUGACAAGAGUAGGAAUGAGAGGCUCGCUGUCUUUUUUUUAAAAAAGCAUGAUCUAGCUAAAGUUAAUUGUAAAUAAAUCACGUUAAAAGCAUAAGGGUGGGACUUGGUGUGUUACCUCAGUGAGCAUGGAUUCCCAAAACCAUGUUUGCUGAAGUAAUGUAAAUAGGAGGUAGGGGGCGGAGGAAGAAUGUUUAAGGAAAAACUGGCUGGGAAGGGGAAAGCUUGAUUGUUUCCCUGUCUGUUGGUUCUCCCCUAAAAAUACUCAGCCCCCCACAAUUUUUUCCCUUUGCAAAACCUACUUUUCCAUUUCAGAGACCAGCUUGGUUGGGGGAAAGGGUAAGAAAUGGGUUGGGAGGGCAUUUGCAAGGGAGAAUCAGCUGGUGUGUGUGGGGUGGGGGUUAGGAUUUGGUAUUGUCUGGCCUGUCUGCCCACACUUAAGACGAGGCACUGUUUUCUUCCUACCAUGUGGUUCCACCCAAAGUAAGCUGUAAGUAAUUUGUUUCAAGAGGGCUUAGUUGCAACCAAAAUUAGCUGGAUCAGGGCUUCUGUUUUUAAAUAGCUGUGUGUGUGAAAAAGUUAAUCAGCACUCCAUCCUUUACUAAACUAAACUAUUUCUGAAGCCCCUCUAAAUCUGAAGGCAUUGGCAGUUGAGAGAUUGCACUGCCUUAGCAGUGACAUCUUGGGCAUUAGCCAAGUGGUGCCUAUGACAGAAAUUUAGAAACACAGUUGGAUUGUAAGAGUGCUGGUUUCAGAUGUAUGGGAUUGGGAGAUAGUGGUGUCAGGUUUAGGAUUUUAGCAGGUACCACUUGAUGCAUUCUGAACAUUUGGGGGUGGAAAUUGGCUUGUCAGUGACAGAAGUGCAAGCGUUGGUAAGAUCUGUGUCUUGAAAAUGUGCCAUCUGUAUAUGCCCUGAGAGCAAAAAUAUACCUCUUCCUUGUCCUGCUCUGUCUCGCUAAAAGCAAAGAGGUCGAGAUGUUUACUGGUGCCUUUUUCUAGAGAGAACCUUGCUAUGUGCGCGUUUGAAUGCGUAGUAGACAUUCCCCCUACUUUUUGGUUAUUAAUUUAGGAAAGCAUGGGACAUGAAUAGGAUGGGUAUGGGAGAAGCACAUCAACUAACCUGUGUAUCUAUAUCCUGAAUACUGUUCAACAGCUAAACACAAUUGUUCUUGGAUCCAUUUAUUUUUCCUACUUGUGUUAAUAUAAUAUAUAUAUAUAUAUUUAAAUAAAAAGGGAAUCGUCAAAGAAGAGCACAUA